GGGGCCUCCCUUUAAAACGCAAGCUACGUACGUCUCCUCCAAUCCGACGUCCAGUAGCAAUACAUACAUACAACACAUAAAAACGAGUAGCUAGAUGGAUCAGAACGAGUCGGAAGCCCAUGGAUGAGAGGAUCAAAACGAGAGUCAAAUUCGGAAGCCCAUGGAUGUGAGCAGCGGCGGAGCCAGGAUCCAGAGCUAGGGGGGCUCUUCUUUCCUUCUUCCUCCUCCCUCCUCUCAUUCCUUCUUCUUCUUCCUCUAAAUUUUCUUCUUCCUUCUUCUUCCUCCACAAAAUUUGUAGGGGGGCUUCCAUGGAAGCCAAGGUGGUAGGGGGGGCUUGAGCACCCCUGCACCCCCUGGCUCCACCACUGGAUGAGAGCGAAAGCAAAAUUUCCAUGGAUCAGAUCCGAGUGGGAGCCCAGCUGACCUCUCCAAAUACAUGCCAGGGCUUCGAAAGACCGUGGUCAAACUUAAAGGAAAAAAAAUUGGGGCUAUAUGUCAAGGACAUGUUCGGCACACGCGUAUUCGGCCAACGAAGUAAUUUUGUGGAAAAAGUGAAGCUUGUAUCAGGAAAUGUGCCUGCGCAUUGGGUUAUACACGUUUAAUGAGGAAUAUUGCCAUCUUGGGUCUAUAGGGAUGCUUCGUUGGGCAGCUUAUAAGGAGGAACGGGCUAACAUGAAUCAUUUGCUACUUAUUAUCUAUCGCUCGCAGCCGCCUGGAAGCAGGGUUCUUUCAGUUCAGGCCUAGAAGCAGGGUUCUUUCAGUUCAGUCGUGUCCAGAUUAUCCUUACGGAUUUAAGAUUGAGAGCGAUCUCCUGCGCAUGCCCUCGAAGGAAGCCUUGAAAAAACGCAGGGAAGAGAUCAACAAGAGGACAAAGAUUCUAGCUUCUUCCUGUAACAACACAGUUGUCGCAAAUUAAAUAGCUACUCUGUGCUAUAUUUUUAUAUUGCAUUAUUGAUUAUUGUGUAGUCGUUUGGGUGUUUGAUGACCUAUUUAACACUGCAUGCAGGAUAAGUGUAACAACUUGUGGAUGCAUUU